AGUUUGUAUAAAGACACAAGAAAUAACAGAGUAGGAACAAUCUCAUCUAUUUAUACCCAAAUAGAAAUGAUUUUGUUUUCACUUUUUUUGUAGGAGUGUUAAUUUAGCACAUCCUCAUAAUUAUAGUUAUUUUAUACACAUUUCAUUGUAUUUGAUGGAUCUCCAAACGUUCUAAGGCACAGCUAACCACAGGUUUGUGCCUCACCAACUUCUACAUGAUUUAUGUCAGCUUGGGUGCAGUUCUAAUUUACUCUACCCAUUUUUGUUUUCACUAUGUGACUAAAAAGUAUGCUGCUGCAAAAUGUCGUGCAGAUGAAAAGUAUCACAUUUCAAAAGCUAAAUGCUGUUCUCUGGGACACCACAAACACACCAUUUCCUAAAAGGCUGAGGAAGCCGAAUGGCUGGUUGGGGUCAGCUGUCUGGGGAAAACGCUCUGGCAUGUUAUUUUUCCACUGCUGUGUCCUCUCUCUGUCCUGCAGCCCAAUCAAUAAAAGCUUCCACAGGGCCAUCUGCAUGUGUUUGCGUGUGUUCAACAGUUUAGAACAGGGGGCCACUUGGAGUCACUGUUUUUUUUUUUCAAGAAAAUAAUUUUAUAUUUAGUGUACUCCAGCUCUGAAACUGUUGAAAAUAUAAAACACACAAAUAAACCAGAAUAACAGGUGGGAAGAAAUGAUUUCUAAAAUUAUUUUUUAGAUAAUGCAUAUGGUAGAUAAGCUAUAUCUAAAUUACAGCUCGUUCAAUUUAAUGGUGCUUUCCAAACAUACAGUUUUAGCACUUUUUUUCUGCUCAGUUUUAGUCAUUUCACAUUACUUCUGAAAAGCACCUCCACUUGAUUGGAGGUUGUCAUAGUAACUGCAACAAUGCCCUUUUUGUCCUUUUCAUAUAUGACACAAAACACAAACUGUGUGUCAAGCUAGAGGAUGGGACACCCGCAAGGACACAGGUGAGGAGGGAUCAGACUGAGACAGUAUGACCUCCAGACCAGCAGGAGGAACAUACAGGAAGCCCUGGAAUGGCAACUUUUAGACCUCCAAACCAGAUUGGAGCAGAGGAUGCUGGGACCUUGGAGGAGAUUGAUCCAGCAGUAUAACUGCUGAUCAGUUGGGAGCUUUUGAUGACUUGCAAAGUUUUCUAAAUCAAGGACGUCUCAUUGUUCUACAACCCGGGGUCAUCUGAGCAGCCGAGUCCCUGAGGCUUUUCUCACCACCUGAGCAGGGAAAAAUCGAAAGUCCUGUUCAGCAAGAACAAAAAAUGUCAAUUUGUCUGUUGAUUCAAUUUGUGAAAAGCAGUGUGUGAGAUAAAGGCAGUGUUAUUCAUCAUG